rnacentral:rRNA from 1 species
UGCGUAGGUGGCUAUUUAAGUUAGAUGUGAAAUCCCCGGGCUUAACCUGGGAACUGCAUUUAAUACUGGAUGGCUAGAGUGUGGGAGAGGUAAGUGGAAUUUCCGGUGUAGCGGUGAAAUGCGUAGAUAUCGGAAGGAACACCAGUGGCGAAGGCGGCUUACUGGCCUAACACUGACACUGAGGCACGAAAGCGUGGGGAGCAAACA